rnacentral:rRNA from 1 species
GGCGGGCCAAAACAUGCAAGUCGAGCGGUACAUUUCUAGCUUGCUAGAAGAUGACGAGCGGCGGACGGGUGAGAAAUGCUUGGGAAUAUGCCUUAGGGUGGGGGACAACAGUUGGAAACGACUGCUAAUACCGCAUAACGUCUACGGACCAAAGGGGGCUUCGGCUCUCGCCCUUAGAUUAGCCCAAGUGGGAUUAGCUAGUUGGUGAGGUAAUGGCUCACCAAGGCGACGAUCCCUAGCUGGUUUGAGAGGAUGAUCAGCCACACUGGAACUGAGACACGGUCCAGACUCCUACGGGAGGCAGCAGUGGGGAAUAUUGCACAAUGGGCGCAAGCCUGAUGCAGCCAUGCCGCGUGUGUGAAGAAGGCCUUAGGGUUGUAAAGCACUUUCAGUAAGGAGGAAAGGUUAGUAGUUAAUACCUGCUAGCUGUGACGUUACUUACAGAAGAAGCACCGGCUAACUCCGUGCCAGCAGCCGCGGUAAUACGGAGGGUGCGAGCGUUAAUCGGAAUUACUGGGCGUAAAGCGUACGCAGGCGGUUUGUUAAGCGAGAUGUGAAAGCCCCGGGCUCAACCUGGGGAACUGCAUUUCGAACUGGCAAGCUAGAGUAUGAUAGAGGGUGGUAGAAUUUCAGGUGUAGCGGUGAAAUGCGUAGAGAUCUGAAGGAAUACCGAUGGCGAAGGCAGCCACCUGGGGUCAAUACUGGACGCUCAU